UAUUCUCAGUAACGGCGAGUGAAGCGGCAAAAGCUCAAAUUUGAAAUCUGGCCCUUCCAGGGUCCGAGUUGUAAUUUGUAGAGAGUGUUUCGGGUAGUCGGCGGUCUAAGUCUAUUGGAACAUAGCGUCAUAGAGGGUGAGAAUCCCGUAUGUGACCGCCGUCCGACCCCGUGUGAAACCUCUUCGACGAGUCGAGUUGUUUGGGAAUGCAGCUCAAAAUGGGUGGUAAAUUUCAUCUAAAGCUAAAUACCGGCUGGAGACCGAUAGCGCACAAGUAGAGUGAUCGAAAGAUGAAAAGCACUUUGGAAAGAGAGUUAAACAGUACGUGAAAUUGUUGAAAGGGAAGCGCUUGCAACCAGACCUGCCCGUGGGUGAUCAGCCGCUGUUCUCAGCGGUGUACUCGCCCGACGGUCAGGCCAGCAUCGGUUUCGGCGGUCGGAUAAAGGCUUUGGGAACGUAACUCCCUCCCGGGGGAGUGUUAUAGCCCUCGGUGCAAUGCGGCCAGUCGAGACCGAGGACCGCGCUUCGGCUAGGAUGCUGGCGUAAUGGUUGUAAGCGACCCGUCUUGAAACACGGACCAAGGAGUCUAACAUCUAUGCGAGUGUUUGGGCAUUAAACCCACACGCGGAAUGAAAGUGAACGGAGGUGAGACCCCCGGAGGGCGCAUCAUCGACCGAUCCAGAUGUCUUCGGAUGGAUUUGAGUAUGAGCAUAGCUGUUGGGACCCGAAAGAUGGUGAACUAUGCCUGAAUAGGGUGAAGCCAGAGGAAACUCUGGUGGAGGCUCGCAGCGGUUCUGACGUGCAAAUCGAUCGUCAAAUUUGGGUAUAGGGGCGAAAGACUAAUCGAACC
rnacentral:rRNA from 1 species